rnacentral:lncRNA from 1 species
UAAAGGAAACUGAAGAAGGUCAAUCUAGAAUGAUACUUGCUGGAUGGAUUGAAAAAGUGAAGCUUUAGCAGCAAGUAGAAAAACUGAAGCAUCAGUUGCAGUAACUCAUCCAUUGAGUGAAAAGGUUCUUCCCAUGUCCCUACUCUCAGAAAUGCAUUCUGAAAUUUCGAAGAAACAAGACAUUACACAAGUACAUGGCUUCACUACCAAGGGGAAGGGCAAAAGACCAUCUUUGAUUUAAUUCCAGGCUUCAGUGUCUAAUUCUGUGGCAAAGAUAGCUCAUGAAUUCUUUGUUCCUCUGCCAAGCGCAACAGGGAUAAGUAGCCUUGCUCUGGGAAUAUGAGUUUGAUGAUUGGGUUGCAUGAACCCUGGAAGCCUGGAAUAUUCAUCUAUUUUCACAUUCUUCUGUCCCUCCUGACUGCAGCACUCCCCAAACCUACAUGGAAGAGCUAAAAUCAAUUCUGGUAAAUCUCAUCAACUUCUAGGACACUGUGGUAGAUUUCCUUCAGUUUAAUCUCUAGCAUUAACUGGAAGAAACAUUUUCUUACUCAGUCACUACAUUUGUCAAGAAAUAAUGCUAUGGUUGAACACUGCACGAAAUGAUAGAGAUUAACAGUAGCACAAUACUAGACAUUUCUUUUUUGCUAUUCUACUUAAUGCCUGAUGUAACCUCAUGAGGUGGAUGUUGUACUCCUGACUUUAGAGAUAAGAAAACUGAACUUUUGGGAGGCUAAAUAACUUACUUACAGUUACAUAGUCAAGAAAUGGAGAUGGCAAGAGUUCAGGCCUAGGUUUGUCUGAUUGCAAAUACUACAUCCUUUCUAUUGCUUCACUUUGUUUGGCUUUAAAGCUGUUAAAUGAGAAUGACCAUAAUACCCCAGAGAACUUCUGUGAGGAUUAAAUGGAUAUGCAAAAGCUCUCGACAUAAUACCUGGCUCAAGACAUCUGGGGAGGCAUUCAACUGGGACCUGCAGGAUUCGCUUUCAAUGUGGCUCACCCACAUGGCCAGGAGUGCAGACCAGGACCAGCUGUUUCUCUCCACAUGGGUUUCUUCAAGGACUUCUUGGGCUUCUUCAGAGCAUGCCAGCUGGAUUUCGUGAGUAAGCAUCUUAAGAGACAAAAAAUGGAGGCUGCCAGUUUAAUAAAGCCUGUGCCAGAAACUGGUACAGCAUCACUUCCUCCAUACUCUUUCAGUCAAGCAGUCAUAGGGCCCAGAUUCAAGGAGAAACGCAUAAUCCCUACCUUUUGAUAGAAACAAUUUUCACUUGAAAACUUUGGGGGUAUGUUUUAAAAGUAUUACAUCUCCCAAACCUCCUGGCAGUCAAUGCCAGAGCCAGGAUUUAACUGCAGGUUUAUUUGAUGACAAAGCCCAUUUUACAAAGACUAAAACAGACCUGAAGAGAAAUAUAGCAGGUUUAAGUAAUUUCCCAUGGGGAAAUGAAAACUCUGAAUCCAAAGUCCUUAAAUUAGCUACUACACUAUGGUUCACAAGAUGAAAUGCACUGGUGCAUGGCAGUGCAUUUUUAAAUUGUGAUGCUUUCUAUCAAUAAACUCUUUGUAAGUAAAAGUAAGUAUCAAGAGGAGUGUAGCACACACAUGUUACAGCUGAAAAUGAUGCGCUGUGAUGUCAAGCACUUUCCCAAGGAGAUGCAGCUAAUAGUUGCCAGAGCCAUAAUGAUAUUAGGUGUUGUUCCCUUUGUCUGGGACGCCCUCUCCGUAUGUAUUAGUCUGGAAAACUCCACUUAUCCCAUCAGCCUCAGCUCUCACCUCUUCCGAGACCUUCCCUGACAUCACUAGGCAAAUAUAAAUGAGCCCUCUGACCAUCCCCUUUGUGCAAGACUCAGGUUAAAAAAAUGACCCCAUGAGAGAGUGUUAAUAUUUCUUUCCUCAAUUAGAAUCUUGAAGUCCAGAACUGUGCAUUUCCAUCCUUAUAUCAGAAUGUCUAGCACACAAGAAGCACUGGGAAAUAUGUGUGGAAUAAAUAACUGAGCAUGUUGAUAAAGGAGCAUAUAUUUUUAAUAUCCAUAGAAGUGCAAAUCUUUGCUGGGUAGCGUUGUAGGAAUGUUUUUCCACAUGUCAUGACGACAUUUGUUUUGCAUUUUAGUCCAU